UUAAAGGAAUUGACGGGGCCCGCACAAGCAGCGGAGCGUGUGGUUUAAUUCGAUGCAACACGAAAAACCUUACCAAGGUUUGACAUGUCGGAAGUAGUGAACCGAAAGGGGAACGACCUGUUGAGUCAGGAGUCGUCACAGGUGCUGCAUGGCUGUCGUCAGCUCGUGCCGUGAGAUGUUCGGUUAAGUCCGCUAACGAGCGCAACCCUCGCUGUGUGUUACAAGUGUCACACGGUACUGCCGGUCUUAAGCCGGAGGAAGGUGGGGAUGACGUCAAGUCAGCAUGGCCUUUAUGUCCUGGGCUACACACACGCUACAAUGGCCAACACAAUAGGUUGCUAAGCCGCGAGGUGGAGCCAAUCCUCAAAGUUGGUCUCAGUUCAGAUUGCAGGCUGCAACCCGCCUGCAUGAAGAUGGAGUUGCUAGUAACCGCAGGUCAGCUAUACUGCGGUGAAUACGUUCCCGGGGCUU
rnacentral:rRNA from 1 species